rnacentral:rRNA from 1 species
UACGGGAGGCAGCAGUGAGGAAUAUUGGACAAUGGGCGCAAGCCUGAUCCAGCCAUGCCGCGUGCAGGAUGACGGUCCUAUGGAUUGUAAACUGCUUUUAUACGGGAAGAAACCCUGGCUCGUGAGCCAGAUUGACGGUACCGUAGGAAUAAGGAUCGGCUAACUCCGUGCCAGCAGCCGCGGUAAUACGGAGGAUCCAAGCGUUAUCCGGAAUCAUUGGGUUUAAAGGGUCCGUAGGCGGUUUUAUAAGUCAGUGGUGAAAUCCGGUAGCUCAACUAUCGAACUGCCAUUGAUACUGUAGAACUUGAAUUGCUGUGAAGUAACUAGAAUAUGUAGUGUAGCGGUGAAAUGCUUAGAUAUUACAUGGAAUACCAAUUGCGAAGGCAGGUUACUAACAUCAUAUUGACGCUGAUGGACGAAAGCGUGGGGAGCGAACAGGAUUAGAUACCCUGGUAGUCCACGCCGUAAACGAUGGAUACUAGCUGUUUGGUAGCA